GAUCAUGGCUCAGAUUGAACGCUGGCGGCAUGCCUUACACAUGCAAGUCGAACGGCAGCACGGGUGCUUGCACCUGGUGGCGAGUGGCGAACGGGUGAGUAAUACAUCGGAACGUACCUUAUCGUGGGGGAUAACGCAGCGAAAGCUGUGCUAAUACCGCAUACGCCCUGAGGGGGAAAGCGGGGGAUCGAAAGACCUCGCGCGAUUAGAGCGGCCGAUAUCUGAUUAGCUUGUUGGUGGGGUAAAAGCCCACCAAGGCGACGAUCAGUAGCUGGUCUGAGAGGACGAUCAGCCACACUGGGACUGAGACACGGUCCAGACUCCUACGGGAGGCAGCAGUGGGGAAUUUUCCGCAAUGGGCGAAAGCCUGACGGAGCAAUACCGCGUGAGGGAAGAAUGCCUAUGGGUUGUAAACCUCUUUUUUCAGGGAGGAAUAAAAUGACGUGUACCUGAAGAAUAAGCAUCGGCUAACUCCGUG
rnacentral:rRNA from 1 species